rnacentral:rRNA from 1 species
AUAUCAAUAAGCGGAGGAAAAGAAACCAACAGGGAUUGCCCCAGUAACGGCGAGUGAAGCGGCAACAGCUCAAAUUUGAAAUCUGGUCCCUAGGGCCCGAGUUGUAAUUUGUAGAGGAUGCUUUUGGUGAGGUGCCGCCCGAGUUCCCUGGAACGGGACGCCACAGAGGGUGAGAGCCCCGUCUGGCUGGCCGCCGAGCCUCUGUAAAGCUCCUUCGACGAGUCGAGUAGUUUGGGAAUGCUGCUCAAAAUGGGAGGUAUAUGUCUUCUAAAGCUAAAUAUUGGCCAGAGACCGAUAGCGAACAAGUACCGUGAGG